GACGAACGCUGGCGGCGUGCCUAACACAUGCAAGUCGAGCGGACGAGGCCCCUUCGGGGACCGAGUUAGUGGCGAACGGGUGAGUAACGCGUGAGCAACCUGCCUUUCAGAGGGGGACAACAGUUGGAAACGACUGCUAAUACCGCAUAACACAUUCGGGGGGCAUCCCCUGAAUGUCAAAGAUUUAUCGCUGAAAGAUGGGCUCGCGUCUGAUUAGCUAGUUGGUGAGGUAACGGCUCACCAAGGCGGCGAUAAGUAGCCGGACUGAGAGGUUGAACGGCCACAGUGGGACUGAGAUACGGCCCAGACUCCUACGGGAGGCAGCAGUGGGGAAUAUUGGGCAAUGGGGGAAACCCUGACCCAGCAACGCCGCGUGAAGGAAGAAGGCUUUCGGGUUGUAAACUUCUUUUACCAGGGACGAAGACGUGACGGUACCUGGAGAAAAAGCCACGGCUAACUACGUGCCAGCCGCCGCCGUAAGAC
rnacentral:rRNA from 1 species